AGCUCCAAUAGCGUAUAUUAAAGUUGUUGCGGUUAAAAGCUCGUAGUUGGAUUUCUACCGAAGACAGCCGGUCCGCACUUAGUGCGCGCAUCUGGUCUGACUUUGGUAUCCUCUUGGGGAACAUUUCUGCCUUUCAUUAGGUGGGGUGGUAUUCAAGACUUUUACUUUGAGGAAAUUAGAGUGUUCACGGCAGGCGACCGCCUUGAAUAUAUUAGCAUGGAAUAAUAAUAUAGGACUUCGGUUCUAUUUUGUUGGUUUCUAGGACUGAAGUAAUGAUUAAUAGGGACACUUGGGGGCAUUCGUAUUAUCACGUCAGAGGUGGAAUUCUUGGAUUGUGUUACGACGAACGACUGCGAAAGCAUUUGCCAAGGAUGUUUUCA
rnacentral:rRNA from 1 species